UACGUAGGGUGCAAGCGUUGUCCGGAAUUAUUGGGCGUAAAGAGCUCGUAGGCGGUCUGUCGCGUCAGUCGUGAAAACUUGGGGCUUAACCCUGAGCUUGCGGUCGAUACGGGCAUGACUGGAGUUCGGCAGGGGAGACUGGAAUUCCUGGUGUAGCGGUGAAAUGCGCAGAUAUCAGGAGGAACACCGGUGGCGAAGGCGGGUCUCUGGGCCGAUACUGACGCUGAGGAGCGAAAGCGUGGGGAGCGAACAGG
rnacentral:rRNA from 1 species